UUUAUGGAGAGUUUGAUCCUGGCUCAGGAUGAACGCUGGCGGCGUGCCUAAUACAUGCAAGUCGAGCGAACGGACGAGAAGCUUGCUUCUCUGAUGUUAGCGGCGGACGGGUGAGUAACACGUGGAUAACCUACCUAUAAGACUGGGAUAACUUCGGGAAACCGGAGCUAAUACCGGAUAAUAUUUUGAACCGCAUGGUUCAAAAGUGAAAGACGGUCUUGCUGUCACUUAUAGAUGGAUCCGCGCUGCAUUAGCUAGUUGGUAAGGUAACGGCUUACCAAGGCAACGAUGCAUAGCCGACCUGAGAGGGUGAUCGGCCACACUGGAACUGAGACACGGUCCAGACUCCUACGGGAGGCAGCAGUAGGGAAUCUUCCGCAAUGGGCGAAAGCCUGACGGAGCAACGCCGCGUGAGUGAUGAAGGUCUUCGGAUCGUAAAACUCUGUUAUUAGGGAAGAACAUAUGUGUAAGUAACUGUGCACAUCUUGACGGUACCUAAUCAGAAAGCCACGGCUAACUACGUGCCAGCAGCCGCGGUAAUACGUAGGUGGCAAGCGUUAUCCGGAAUUAUUGGGCGUAAAGCGCGCGUAGGCGGUUUUUUAAGUCUGAUGUGAAAGCCCACGGCUCAACCGUGGAGGGUCAUUGGAAACUGGAAAACUUGAGUGCAGAAGAGGAAAGUGGAAUUCCAUGUGUAGCGGUGAAAUGCGCAGAGAUAUGGAGGAACACCAGUGGCGAAGGCGACUUUCUGGUCUGUAACUGACGCUGAUGUGCGAAAGCGUGGGGAUCAAACAGGAUUAGAUACCCUGGUAGUCCACGCCGUAAACGAUGAGUGCUAAGUGUUAGGGGGUUUCCGCCCCUUAGUGCUGCAGCUAACGCAUUAAGCACUCCGCCUGGGGAGUACGACCGCAAGGUUGAAACUCAAAGGAAUUGACGGGGACCCGCACAAGCGGUGGAGCAUGUGGUUUAAUUCGAAGCAACGCGAAGAACCUUACCAAAUCUUGACAUCCUUUGACAACUCUAGAGAUAGAGCCUUCCCCUUCGGGGGACAAAGUGACAGGUGGUGCAUGGUUGUCGUCAGCUCGUGUCGUGAGAUGUUGGGUUAAGUCCCGCAACGAGCGCAACCCUUAAGCUUAGUUGCCAUCAUUAAGUUGGGCACUCUAAGUUGACUGCCGGUGACAAACCGGAGGAAGGUGGGGAUGACGUCAAAUCAUCAUGCCCCUUAUGAUUUGGGCUACACACGUGCUACAAUGGACAAUACAAAGGGCAGCGAAACCGCGAGGUCAAGCAAAUCCCAUAAAGUUGUUCUCAGUUCGGAUUGUAGUCUGCAACUCGACUACAUGAAGCUGGAAUCGCUAGUAAUCGUAGAUCAGCAUGCUACGGUGAAUACGUUCCCGGGUCUUGUACACACCGCCCGUCACACCACGAGAGUUUGUAACACCCGAAGCCGGUGGAGUAACCUUUUAGGAGCUAGCCGUCGAAGGUGGGACAAAUGAUUGGGGUGAAGUCGUAACAAGGUAGCCGUAUCGGAAGGUGCGGC
rnacentral:rRNA from 1 species